AGGAGAAGGAGAAGGAAACACAUCUCUGCAUCACAGCUUGCAGGAAUUGUAACUUACAUAAAUGGUUGAAGACAACUUAUUGGGCUUCAUGAGACUCAGAUAAAUGGUGAGUAUCUAUUUCAUAAAUUGCCUAAAACAGUUAUAUUUAACUUUUAAAGUCAAUUUGUGUAUUGAAAGUUGGACGUAAGAUUGUUUAACAUGUUACAAGGGUUCUCUCUGUUUGGGGACAUACAUUUGAAAAAAGAAGAAAAGGAUUGCUGCUCCAAGACGGAGCUUUGUAUAAACACCUGUCGACAACAAACAAAGGUUUAAGAACUACUGACUUUUCAGUCAGAAAUGAUCACACCGCCUGGUUGACUCCACGGGUCUCCAUAUGCAAGUCAACAAAGCAGAGAGGAAACACCCGAUUGACAACAUGUGAGUCUCAAUUUCAACCUGUGACUGGGAAGACUACAACCAUCCUGAGCAAAGUCUGAACUCAGUGACUUGUUACUCUCAACCCAGAACAAGAAUCGUUUUAUCACCGGUUUUUCUUCUACAAUAGGUUAUCUCUUAUGUGGACACAUGCUGUUUUUUGUUGUUGUUUUGUUUUCCAGAUCUCAGUAA